GACUGGUCUGGGACUGGACUGUGGGUCAGCAGGCUGGGAGAAGGCUGCUCCAGAAGCAGAAGUGGUCACCUCUGCAGAGAAAUGACUCUCCCCCUGUGCACUGACACCCAUUCUCUCCCCCUGUCCAGAUCUCCCUCCCCAGCACGAGUCCAGCCAUUCCCAUCUACCAGCCUCUGGGAUUCAAUGACCAUGACUAUGGUGAGCGGAAUAAUCCUUCCAAAGACGUCCAAAGCCUAAUUCCUGGAACCUGUAAGUAUACCACAUUACAUGGCAAAGGGGAAUUAAUGUAACCAAUGGAAUUAAGGUAAAAAGGGACACUAUUGUCGAUUAUCUGGGAUGGGCCUAACGUCAUCAUGGGUCCUUAAAUGUGGAAGGAGACAGAUGGAUCAAUGUCAGAGUGAGCCGAUGUGAGAAAAACUUGGCCAGUUGUUUGGGCUUUCAAGAUGGAAAGAGAUCACAAGUCAGGCAGUAUCAGCAGACUCCAGAAACUGGCAAAGGCAAGAAAACUGAUCAGCCCCUAGAACCUCAAGCAAGUAGUGUGGCCCUGCCGCUGUCUUUAUUUUAGCUCAGUAAAAUCCAUGCCAGACUUCUGACCCCCAGAACUGCAAGGUAAUAAAUGGGCUGUCUUAAGCCACUGUGCUUCUGGUAAUUUGUUACAGCAGUAAUAGGACACUAAUAUAGAUGUCAUAUUAGUUUCUAUUUUUGUAUUAAUAUUAAAUUUGCUGGCUUGAUAAUAGGGCGGUGGAUAUAUAGGAG
rnacentral:lncRNA from 1 species